rnacentral:lncRNA from 1 species
UCCCAGUAGCAAGGAUUUGAACACGUUAUAUUAAUCUAAAAGGUGGAGUUGCUUUGGAACCUUUUAAUUCGAGGUUUCCACUGGAGAGUCCUGUUGGGAAAUGUGUGUGUGGAGGGAGGGGAGGAAGGAGAAAAGUCCGUCUCCUUAAUGUGAGCGGUCCAGGACCUCCCCACCCCCCAUAUACCCUUCCACUGGGAUUUUUCCGGGAAGGAUGAAAGGACAGGAGUUCUGGGGCCGGAAGGCAGGGCGGGUCCCUGAGCCCGGAGCCUCCCAGUGGAAGGCUACUGGGCGAACCUGAAGGGGACCCAGGCAGGAGGAAAAACCAGAGAACCCCAGGAGUGCCUGUUUUGCAAUAAGGCUUUAAGCAGAGUGGGUUGGGUUUAAAUAAACAAAACUCAGCUGCAGCCAGUGGGUUCAGGUGUGGGCCUGCUUUAGGACAGUGGCGCAAUCUCAGCUCAAUGCAACCUCCACCUCCUGGGUUCAAGCAAUUCUCCUGCCUCAGCCUCCGGAGUAGCUGGGAUUAUAGGCACACACCACCAGUCCUGACUAACGUGUGUAUGUUUGGUAGAGACAGGGUUUCGCCAUGUUGGCCAGGCUGGUC